AACUCCAGAGUGAGGGUAGAAGUCUUUUCUUUCUCUUAUUAGAGGACACAUUUGUGCAAAGAGUCUAAAGUAAAGAUGCUGUGGAGUCUGUUGUUCAUCACUUUGAUUGGAAGAUCAACUCAACAGGAUCCAGUUACAUCAUCAGGAUGUAGUCCAGGAUGGGAAACUAUCAAACUGGAUGACAAAGUGGCA